rnacentral:lncRNA from 1 species
AUGCAUAGUGUUUUCAGAACAGGUGUUUUUCACGAACUUUUUCCAUCUCGUCCAACAGGCAAGGCCACCUGUCCCUUCUUUAGGGCCUCUGCUGGGCCCGUAGGGGUGACCCGGUCCUCCAGGCGGGUCCUCCAGCCCACCACGUCUCAGCCGCACCUUUGCUGCUUACCUGAGACCAGGGAGACAGAAAGUGCGACAAUUUACAGGGAGUGGGUUACGCCUCACAGGCAGGAAUCCAGGGACCACAGCAACCUAGGGUUCAGGAUAAGCUGGUGCCCAAGCUGGCUAAGCCCCCAGGGGCGGGCUAGCCUAGGAGUGACUUCCCUAGGAGGAAGAGGGUUACAAGGAUGGACUCCUUCUGUGGGUUCCCCUGCCUUCUACCCUGAGAGCCCAGGCAAGGAGAGGGCAAAGCUGGGCUGCCCAGGUCCCUCCAAGUCCCCUCCUCCAGGAAGCCCUCCCUGGUGCCCUAAGCCCCUGACCCAGCCCCGCCCACUCCAGGUCUCCACUGGGAAGAGAAGCAGGCCUGGCACUAAGUGCACUGUGGCCCAGCAUCAAUGAACACAGAGUCCAACUCCAGGCAUGAGCAGGGAGUGGAUGGUUGACAGGCCUGGCUCCGCGUGUGCUGACUCAACCCUGCCUGCCCUGACACAGCGGCUGCACCUCCCGGGCUCCCUGGGAAGCUGGGGAACAUCUGGGGCCCCCCGGGCAUGGCCCCUCCCCUGCUCACCCAACCCCGUGCAGAGCUGCAGGGAGCCAGGCACCAGGAGCUCCAGGGCCCCCGCAGGAGAGGGCGGGGCGGGGCGGGGCUCAGAGCCUUCUCAGUGCUGGGUUCCUGCCCUGAGGCUGCAGUUCCCAGCAAAGUUAGCUAUGAGGUCAUCAGGAGACACAGGCGGCAGAAGCAGGCAGAGGUACACGGGCCCAGCGUGCCCUGGCGGCCUCGGAGCCCCCCGCCCCCUGGGAGCGUGGUCCAGCACCGCGGAGACCCCGCUGUCCUCUGGUGGGGUGCAGGCGGUGCGGGUUUUGCCCAGAAGUCCCAGAGACGAAUAAAGUCGGAGAAGGACCCUGGCUCUGGCGUCCG